rnacentral:lncRNA from 1 species
GAGAGGGUUGGUUUCUCUAGGAAGUGAGUGUAACAUACCAACAUUCCAGGAAGGAACUUUACAGCAUUUACCCAGGUGAGUGCACAGACUCGAGGGAAACAAUGGAGAUACUGAAAACUUCAAAAAAAUUUAACCCAGGGAAAAAAGCGGAUCAUUCCAUGGGGAAGUAACAAUACAGGUAUUAUAUUUUAUUUCACAUUUUAUUAGUAGACAGAUGUGCAGAAAAGACAAAAAUAAACUACUAAUGGGGAGGACAACACAAAAUGCAUCAGUUAAUCCUUUCUGGUAAAUUAUAAUACUGAAGAAAAAAGGAAAACAUCUAGAAUUUUAGCUUUGAAAAUUACUAAGUCUAAUGCAUCCUGCUGGUUUCAGAACAGUUGAAAGUUGCAUCUGAAUCUUGUUUUAAUAAUGUAAACCUUGUUCAUCAGGAUGGGAAAAGGAUGGGAUAAGAAAAGCAAGAAUGUUAUAGUUAAGGUAAACUUUUUCCCCUCAAUUUCUAAGAUAUUUUUAUAUAAGUCUUACUUUGCUUGUGUGUCUCCAAAACAACAGAAACCAGCAAGUAAACAAAUAAAUCACACUUGGGUGUAACAGAGAGGAAGUGAUGGGGGGGAGGGGAGGGAAAGGUGUUGAGGGGAAGGAGAGAAUGGAAAUGUUUUUAAAAUAAAGCAGUGUUUAAAAUAAACAGGGGGACCAACAAAAGAAUCAUGAUAAUGCAUCUUCUACCACCAAGCCUGAAUAUACAAGUCACUGGAGAUCAUCUAUAAUAAGGUCUCUCAUAGUACAAAGGGAAGCAGAUCCUGAAAGAUGCAGCAUCCUUAUUUCAAACCAAGUCAUUGGCAUAGUUACUCAUCACAAUGAUCUGGCCUGAACCUCUGGCCCUUGAAUCACCUCCCCUUAACCUCCACAAAAGGGAAAUAGGAAACAUGAACCACCCUUGGCCAUUUCCCCACAGAUAGCAUAGGCUGCCACCAACGCUGUUUACAUGAGACAUGUUCUCAGAAGUCCCUGGGAUGUACACACCUGGCUUCACAGAGUCGGACUGUCACGAAUGCCUACAAUUUUUUUAAAAGCUAUUACACCCCAGAUGUGUUUCUUGAACACAAUCUUAUUAGAUAAUAGCUACACACUCAGUAAGUUUUAACACACCAAAAGGCUAAGCCAGAAGCUCCACCUAAUGUUCUCUACCAUCCGUCCAUCUUUGGCUCCCUGAGUCAACAUGCGAUAGAGGCUGAUAGAAAUUAUGAAGAUGGAUACAGCCUCAGCCAGGGCUCAGCAGCAACUCUGAAAUAAAAAGGAGCCAAGACUGGCUUGUAGGAGAUUUCCCAGCAGCAAGGGAUGCACAAUCCCUAGGGGGAUCUGUGAGAAAGAACAAAAAUGAGCAACACUUGACUCUCAGCUGCUGGGCACUGGAGGAUGUCACUGGGACAGGUUAGGAUAACUUAAGGGCCCCUUAAAAUCUUCAAGUCAUUAACAAGGGAGUUAAAAAGCCCAGGCAUUAGAAGGAUGUUUAAUGAGGGGUGACUAGCAGCAAGUGCUGGCACAGGGCCCAGCAAAUUCUCCUCAAUUUCUAUUUAAAAAGAACUUGUUCCCAACCCACUCCCCCAGGAGAUAGAACCAGCACCUCACUGGUUUCAGGAUAGCCCAGGGCAAGGCAAAAAAGCAAGAAAUUCAAGAGCUAAUGAAAACCCUGAGAUCAGAAAGGAAGGGAAGUGAAGUAAGAGUGCAUUAUAACCUCUUAAUCCCUAGCCACUACAGGAUCCCUGGGAUGCAGCUAGGAUUUUCUUACUGAAGAACAUUACAAAAGGGUAGUGCCAAGUAAAAGAACUAGUGAAGCGCAUGCAUUCAAGAUAGGACUCUGGUCAGUGCUCCCUUUAUUCCCUUCACUUGGUGUGUGAAACCUUGAACGAAUCUAGGGGGUCUUUCUUCACUGCUCUAACUUCCCCUGCCACAGAAGGAAAAUAUGCACCUUUACCCUGACAUAAACUCCCCAAUUCUGAAAUCCCUAAUUGUCAAAGGU